rnacentral:rRNA from 1 species
GACGAACGCUGGCGGCGUGCUUAACACAUGCCAGUCGAACGGAAAGGCCCUGCUUUUGUGGGGUGCUCGAGUGGCGAACGGGUGAGUAACACGUGAGUAACCUGCCCUUGACUUUGGGAUAACUUCAGGAAACUGGGGCUAAUACCGGAUAGGAGCUCCUGCUGCAUGGUGGGGGUUGGAAAGUUUCGGCGGUUGGGGAUGGACUCGCGGCUUAUCAGCUUGUUGGUGGGGUAGUGGCUUACCAAGGCUUUGACGGGUAGCCGGCCUGAGAGGGUGACCGGCCACAUUGGGACUGAGAUACGGCCCAGACUCCUACGGGAGGCAGCAGUGGGGAAUAUUGCACAAUGGGCGGAAGCCUGAUGCAGCAACGCCGCGUGCGGGAUGACGGCCUUCGGGGUGUAAACCGCUUUCGCCUGUGACGAAGCGUGAGUGACGGUAAUGGGUAAAGAAGCACCGGCUAACUACG